rnacentral:lncRNA from 1 species
AAUAAUUAUAUGUGUUGAAAAGGUUCAAGUUUGGGGUUGUGUGAGGAAAGUGAAAGGCAAAAGAAAAAGGAAAGCAUUGAGUUCAAAAGAUGAAAAAGAAAAAUGCAUGUGAAGAGAAAAGAAAAGAAGAAAAAAGUUUAAGCAUGUUAAAAAGAACUCAAUGUAAAAUGAAAAAAAGGGAAAAGUUGGGAAUGAGUGAGAUUGGUUAAAAAGAGAGUGUGCUUGAACUUUGAAUGAUUUAAACUCUCUUAACUCGAGGAUUUUGUAUUCCAGAAAAACCAAUUUUUCUUGUUAGCCCAGCCACAAUACAAGCCUUGGAAAAAGUCCUUGUGAUGACAUGUGCAUGUGAAGAUGUUGAUUGUUUUAGAUGAAUGACAAUAUUGUUUUAUGUGACAUGUGAACAGUAGAGAGUAAAG